rnacentral:rRNA from 1 species
GAAGUUAGCGGCGGACGGGUGAGUAACACGUGGGUAACCUGCCCAUAAGACUGGGAUAACUCCGGGAAACCGGGGCUAAUACCGGAUAACAUUUUGAACUGCAUGGUUCGAAAUUGAAAGGCGGCUUCGGCUGUCACUUAUGGAUGGACCCGCGUCGCAUUAGCUAGUUGGUGAGGUAACGGCUCACCAAGGCAACGAUGCGUAGCCGACCUGAGAGGGUGAUCGGCCACACUGGGACUGAGACACGGCCCAGACUCCUACGGGAGGCAGCAGUAGGGAAUCUUCCGCAAUGGACGAAAGUCUGACGGAGCAACGCCGCGUGAGUGAUGAAGGCUUUCGGGUCGUAAAACUCUGUUGUUAGGGAAGAACAAGUGCUAGUUGAAUAAGCUGGCACCUUGACGGUACCUAACCAGAAAGCCACGGCUAACUACGUGCCAGCAGCCGCGGUAAUACGUAGGUGGCAAGCGUUAUCCGGAAUUAUUGGGCGUAAAGCGCGCGCAGGUGGUUUCUUAAGUCUGAUGUGAAAGCCCACGGCUCAACCGUGGAGGGUCAUUGGAAACUGGGAGACUUGAGUGCAGAAGAGGAAAGUGGAAUUCCAUGUGUAGCGGUGAAAUGCGUAGAGAUAUGGAGGAAC